rfam:Microgenomates bacterium GW2011_GWC1_39_7b TT58_C0003, whole genome shotgun sequence.
UCCCCUGUAGCUCAAUGGUAGAGCAGAAUCCUGUUAAGAUUAAGGUUGCUGGUUCGAAUCCAGCCGGGGGAG